rnacentral:rRNA from 1 species
CAGCACCUCAAGUGGUCAGGAUGAUUAUUGGGCCUAAAGCAUCCGUAGCCGGCUCUGUAAGUUUUCGGUUAAAUCUGUACGCUCAACGUACAGGCUGCCGGGAAUACCGCAGAGCUAGGGAGUGGGAGAGGUAGACGGUACUCGGUAGGAAGGGGUAAAAUCCUUUGAUCUAUUGAUGACCACCUGUGGCGAAGGCGGUCUACCAGAACACGUCCGACGGUGAGGGAUGAAAGCUGGGGGAGCAAACCGGAUUAGAUACCCGAGUAGUCC